UAAGGAAUAUUGCUCAAUGGGAGAAAUCCUGAAGCAGCAACGCCGCGUGGAGGAUGAAGGGUCUAUGACUUGUAAACUCCUGUAAAGAAGGAAAAAAUUCCCAUUAGAUGGGAGAUGAUGGUACUUCUGGAGUAAGCCCCGGCUAACUACGUGCCAGCAGCCGCGGUAAUACGUAGGGGGCAAGCGUUGUCCGGAUUUACUGGGUGUAAAGGGUGCUCAGGCGGAUUUGUAAGUCAGAGGUGAAAUCUUACAGCUUAACUGUAGAACUGCCUUUGAUACUUUUAUUCUUGAGUUCGGGAGAGAGAGACGGAAUUCCAGGUGUAGUGGUGAAAUACGUAGAUAUCUGGAAGAACACCAGUUGCGAAGGCGGUCUCUUGGUCCGACACUGACGCUGAGGCGCGAAAGCGUGGGGAGCAAACA
rnacentral:rRNA from 1 species